rnacentral:rRNA from 1 species
UGGGGAAUCUUGCACAAUGGGCGAAAGCCUGAUGCAGCGACGCCGCGUGCGAGAUGAAGGCCUUCGGGUUGUAAACCGCUUUCAGCAGGGACGAGGCGAAAGUGACGGUACCUGCAGAAGAAGCCCCGGCUAACUACGUGCCAGCAGCCGCGGUAAUACGUAGGGGGCAAGCGUUAUCCGGAUUCAUUGGGCGUAAAGCGCUCGUAGGCGGUCUGUUAGGUCGGGAGUUAAAUCCGGGGGCUCAACCCCCGCUCGCUCUCGAUACCGGCAGACUUGAGUUUGGUAGGGGAAGGUGGAAUUCCUAGUGAAGCGGUGGAAUGCGCAGAUAUUAGGAAGAACACCAGUGGCGAAGGCGGCCUUCUGGGCCAUAACUGACGCUGAGGAGCGAAAGCUAGGGGAGCAAACAGGAUUAGAUACCCUGGUAGUCCUAGCCGUAAACGAUGGACACUAGGUGUGGGGGAGUAUUUCUUCCGUGCCGCAGCUAACGCAUUAAGUGUCCCGCCUGGGGAGUACGGCCGCAAGGCUA